GCUCACUCUGAGCCCAGGGCUCCUGAGGCCACCAUUUCCCGUCCUCCCCCAGGGGGUAUGGAGGCUCUGGCCCUGACGCCCACGCAGGAGCCAGAUCCUGGUGCAGGGGAUCCUGCACCUCCGAGACCCGUGUGGGGGUCCGGCUCCACGGGAUCUUUACCCCCUGAGGCAUCGUCCUCAUCUUCCCCAGAUGAGGCAGUGGCGGGUACAACACCCGCAGGCCCACCUCCUAUAGAUCUUCGUGCCCACCAGGAUUUGUUACGUAGGGUGGCACGAAAUAUGGACUUACAGGCCGAGGAGAUAGUGGAGGUGCAGGACCCGGUGGUGAGCAUCCUUUCAUCGGAUGCCCCAACACGGGUGGCAUUACCCAUUAUCAGAACAAUUCAGGCUAACGCUACAGCCAUAUGGCAAACCCCAGCCUCCAUCCCUCCCACUGCCAAGGGUGUAGAGAGGAAGUACUUUGUUCCUUCCAAAGACUAUGAGUACCUCUACACACAUCCCCCACCGUGUUCACUGGUAAUCUCAUCAGUGAAUGCCAGAGAGCGCCAUGGCCAGCAGGCGGCAGCACUCAAAUCAAAGGACGCUAAGCGCUUUGAUUUGUUUGGACGCAAAGUUUAUUCGGUGGGGGGUCUGCAGCUCAGGGCCGCAAACCAACAGGCACUCUUAAGUAGAUAUAACUAUAACUCAUGGAACUCCAUGAGGAAAUUUAAGGAGUUGGUCCCCCAGGACUCAAGGGAGGAGUUCGGGGCCCUGGUGGAGGAGGGCAAAAAGGUGGCUAGGACCUCCUUACAGGCCUCCCUCGACAUUGCGGACUUGGCCGCCAGGACACUAGCGUCAGGGAUAGCCAUGCGACGUGUCUCCUGGCUCCAGGUUUUGGGGUUGCCACCAGAACUACAGCAGACCCUGCAGGAUCUGCCGUUUGACGGCCAAGGCUUGUUCUCGGAAAAGACAGACUCUAGGUUACAGAGCCUCAAGGACUCGAGAACCAUGAUGCGCUCCCUGGGGAUGCAUGUCCCAGGACCCCAAUGCAGGCCAUUUAGGCCCCAGCCACAAAGGUUCUACCCUCCUUGUCCGAGACAGGACUUCUCCAGACGGUGGGGACAAGGUGGUAGACGGAGGUCGACUGGCCCUCAGCAGGGUCAGAAUCAGGGCCCACCUAGGCCACCU
rnacentral:lncRNA from 1 species